GCUCUCAAACACCUUCCUUUUCCUUGGGCAAGCAUACCCCCUCUUCCUCCUGUUCCUCCCGGCCUCCACACCAUUUCCUUUCUGCUUGGCGAUUGGUGGCAGAGCGGAGGACCGAGGACGUGAGCCCCAUGCUCGAUCGAUCUCAGUGUGUUUGGUCACGUGGAGGCCAGAGGUCAAGUGUUACACUGGCUGUUUUCAAGUUAACUUGCUACAAAUUAGCCUUACCUGCAGUAAGGAUCCCCGCCCGAGGACCCGCCCAGAUUGUUUGGAUUGACAUGGGAGGACCCGCCCAGAUUGCUUUGACAAGCUUUCUGCUAGCAGUGAUAGAAGGUUGUGGCAGAAAGAGGGCCACUCCCUUUUGCUCUCUUGCCCCCUGGGUUGACUCAGCCUGCUGCUGUUGCUGCUGUUGCAGGUUCCUUUGCAGACAUCAGAACCCCGAGUGCGCGCAGGCUCCCUGCAUGGACUAAAGACUGUGGAUGAGGAGUCAGGGAAAAGCUGUGUCCCCAGAGACUGACUGGUUGGAACCAACUUCCGUGGAGAGGUUGGGAUCUUGCAGAUCCAGGGGCUAAUUACCUUACCUUGGGCUAGUUCUAGCCCCUGGACAGCUAGCUAU
rnacentral:lncRNA from 1 species